UNGGCAGCAGGCGGUAGUAUAAGGGGUUC
rnacentral:piRNA from 1 species